rnacentral:rRNA from 1 species
CCUAGGGUGGCAGCAGUGGGGAAUAUUGGACAAUGGGGGGAACCCUGAUCCAGCCAUGCCGCGUGUGUGAAGAAGGCCCUCGGGUUGUAAAGCACUUUCAGUGAGGAAGAACGCCUGGUGGUUAAUACCCAUCAGGAAAGACAUCACUCACAGAAGAAGCACCGGCUAACUCCGUGCCAGCAGCCGCGGUAAUACGGAGGGUGCGAGCGUUAAUCGGAAUUACUGGGCGUAAAGCGCGCGUAGGUGGCUUGAUAAGCCGGUUGUGAAAGCCCCGGGCUCAACCUGGGAACGGCAUCCGGAACUGUCAAGCUAGAGUGCAGGAGAGGAAGGUAGAAUUCCCGGUGUAGCGGUGAAAUGCGUAGAGAUCGGGAGGAAUACCAGUGGCGAAGGCGGCCUUCUGGACUGACACUGACACUGAGGUGCGAAAGCGUGGGUAGCAAACAGGAUUAGAUACCCCAGUAGUC